UUUAAAUCCAAAACAAACAAAAAUCCAAAGUGAGCUACCUUACAAAAGUCCUUACAGUAAGACACGUCGUUUUGAGAGUUUGUUUCUUGUUUUUUCAGCUUUUAAACUUAGAUAUAUUUGCAUCUGCGUAAAGAUCACUCAAAACUGUCUUAAUUCAUAAUUCAAGUGGUUAACCAAGGCAAAGAAUAAGGAAGUGAAAGUCUGAGGUGCAAUGCCAGGUCAGAUUUCCCAACAGGCUAGUCAGUACCAGGCUCUGCCUGCACUCACCUAAACCAGAUGACCUCUCUAAGUCUCUUUUAAUCAAAUUAUAUAACAAGUUAGUUACAUAAUGUCAGUGCUCUAACAUUCACGGGUAUUUUUUUUUUCUUUUCAAGGUUUUCCUAGGAAACCCUCAUGUUUGUAACUGUUCCACAUUUCUGAAAGGAGGGGAGCUUUGUAAGCAUAUAUGCUGGAUCUUAUUGAAAAAAAUUCAAGCUUCCAAGAAAUCAUGAAUACAGAGAUCUCAGUAAAUUGCUCAAGCUGGCCUUGAACUUGUGACCUCCUGCCUCAGCCUCCCAGAGUGCUGGGGUUACAGCCAUGAACUACCUUGCCCAGCCUGGUUUCCUCUCUUUGAAUCUCCGUGUCACAUUUUGGCCUUCCUUUUCAUUUCUGCUCCAAAGCUUGGAAUUCUUUUUUGCUCACAUCCUCUUCUCCUGUCUGUCUGUGUUUAUUUCUACAAUUUUAAAGAAAUCAUGCAAAAUGAGAAAGAUGUCACAUACAAAUUCAAACUAAUCUAUUCAUGCCUAGUAAACUAAAUAAGAAAAUUGUUUCCAUUAUGC
rnacentral:lncRNA from 1 species